rnacentral:miRNA from 1 species
GAGGUGGUGGUGAGGUUGGCACAGUGCAAACGCACUGGCAGAAGCUUCAGAUUGGCUCCACCAAUGUGUUUGCACUGUGUCAACCUCACCACCACCUC